rnacentral:tRNA from 1 species
GGGCAGUGGUGUGGAACGGAACGGGAAGAUGUAGAAAUACCCUUUGAAAUAUAAGGCUUUCCAAUCGACUUUUAAUCGAGAGGUCCCGGGUUCGAAUCCCGGCGGACCCACCA